AUAUCUUUAUUUGAGAAUUGUAAUUGUUAGCUAAUUUUCUUGGUAACUGUAUAUGCAGUGUCAGUCCUCCUAAGCUUCUGUUUAUGUGCUAGUUACCAUGGCAACUGUUUAAUACCUGGUUUGUCAGUCUGUGUUUUGAUGGUCCACUAAUAUUGUGGCCAGGACAUUACUUGAAAGGGAUCCUGGGCAAGCACUUGUUGGUUUUAGUGGUAACUGGCACAUAAGCACAAUAGCUUGUUGGAAAAGGAUGUGCAUAAGCGGCUACAAGAGCAGUCCAGAUGCAAUGUAUAGCUUCACUUGCCAGUUAUUUUUGAAAUUGACAAACCCAUAGAAAUUUUCCAUCAGCUGAGCUAUGAGUAACUCGGGCAACUCUUAGCUACUUGCUGUAAGUAUAAUUUUCAGAUUUACUGACAAAGUGCAGCUGGACUGGGUGUAGGUGCUUGUGGUUGGUUUCCAUGACAACUUUUACAUUGCCAAAGGUUGAAUAAUUUAGGAUUGUUAUGGCAUUCACUUCCCCUUGUUGCCAUGGAAACCAAGUCACGUUUGGUGAAUGUUUUUGUGAUUACGGUUGUCAUGGCAACCAUUUUGUAAUAAAGACGACACAAAAAUAUUGUAAGAAUGACUUUAUUUGCAAAGAGAAAGAAUUAAAAAAAAA